AUUCAUCAGUCUAUAGAAGUAACAUUUCCCCACAAAACAUAACCUAUCUUGUUAAAUCAACUUAUACGCUUUGCAACCCAGUUCUUUGAAACUCAAGAUUGCACACAUAUUGAGAUGUGCACUUUCUAUUAUUUAAAUUCUCCCUCGCCCUGCUCGUCCGAAUUAAAAGUAUUUUAUCUCUUAAUUCAAUAGGCUAUAAACAAGACAAACACAGAUAUAGGAUUAGUUGCUCGCAGUAGCAUAUUAUUUUCUCUUGCGAUACAAUACUUUAUUUUACUGUAUUGUACAGAUUUCUUCGAUUUAAACAACAUAUAAAUACAUGACAUAUAACAUUGUUCCUCUUUCGCAUUAUUUCUUUUUCCUCGGCUAAUAUCUCCAAGUUCCAACGCCUGUACGUACAAUAAACAUAACAGCAACUGCAUAUAUACCAAUGUGACCAACUUCAAUUCGACGUAACUGCGAGGACCUUCCAUACUAAUACAUUUAAAUGCCAAACUUUAUAUAGUACCAUUAAAUCCCUACCGAAGAAACUGCCAAAACUUUCCUCGUGCCUUAUGCACCUAACAUUAAAUUUAUAAAUACAAAAAUGUAGUACAUACUGUUGCAAAACCAGUAUCAGAACUAGUUAUACUAGUUCCCAUCUAUAAAUAAUUACUACAAAUAGC
rnacentral:lncRNA from 1 species